AUCGUACUCCCUCCGUCCGAAAAAGCUUGUCCUACAAAUAAAUGUAUCUAGCACCAAGUUAGUGCUAGAUACAUUCUGGUGCUAGAUACAUUCAUUUAAGGAACAAGCUUGGGACAACCUUUUUCGGACGGAGGGAGUAGAUA
rfam:Triticum aestivum genome assembly, contig: Triticum_aestivum_CS42_TGACv1_scaffold_147716_2BS